CUAGUAUAAGCAAUCUAUACGGUGAAACUGCGAAUGGCUCAUUAAAUCAGUUAUCGUUUAUUUGAUAGUACCUUACUACUUGGAUAACCGUGGUAAUUCUAGAGCUAAUACAUGCUAAAAACCUCGACUUCGGAAGGGGUGUAUUUAUUAGAUAAAAAACCAAUGCCCUUCGGGGCUCCUUGGUGAUUCAUAAUAACUUAACGAAUCGCAUGGCCUUGUGCCGGCGAUGGUUCAUUCAAAUUUCUGCCCUAUCAACUUUCGAUGGUAGGAUAGUGGCCUACCAUGGUUUCAACGGGUAACGGGGAAUUAGGGUUCUAUUCCGGAGAGGGAGCCUGAGAAACGGCUACCACAUCCAAGGAAGGCAGCAGGCGCGCAAAUUACCCAAUCCCGACACGGGGAGGUAGUGACAAUAAAUACUGAUACAGGGCUCUUUUGGGUCUUGUAAUUGGAAUGAGUACAAUUUAAAUCCCUUAACGAGGAACAAUUGGAGGGCAAGUCUGGUGCCAGCAGCCGCGGUAAUUCCAGCUCCAAUAGCGUAUAUUAAAGUUGUUGCAGUUAAAAAGCUCGUAGUUGAACCUUGGGCCUGGUUGGUCGGUCCGCCUCACCGCGUGCACUGAUCCGACCGGGUCUUUCCUUCUGGGGAGCCGCAUGCCCUUCACUGGGUGUGUCGGGGAACCAGGACUUUUACUUUGAAAAAAUUAGAGUGUUCAAAGCAGGCCUAUGCUCGAAUACAUUAGCAUGGAAUAAUAGAAUAGGACGUGUGGUUCUAUUUUGUUGGUUUCUAGGACCGCCGUAAUGAUUAAUAGGGAUAGUCGGGGGCAUCAGUAUUCCGUUGUCAGAGGUGAAAUUCUUGGAUUUACGGAAGACUAACUACUGCGAAAGCAUUUGCCAAGGAUGUUUUCAUUAAUCAGUGAACGAAAGUUAGGGGAUCGAAGACGAUCAGAUACCGUCGUAGUCUUAACCAUAAACUAUGCCGACUAGGGAU
rnacentral:rRNA from 1 species